AUUGAAACACUGGUUCUUUUACGAUCACCGAAAUUAAGCAACGUCAAGCCUGGUUAGUACUUUGAUGGGUGACCGCUUAGGAAUACCAGGUGCUGUAA